UCUGAUCUAACUGAGCCAAACUGUGUUUCUUUCUGCCCUGAUCUGAGCUGUCUUUCCCUAGUUCUGGGCUCCAGGGUCAGGGUGGGUUUCUUUAGCCAGCCCCUUUUCCCUACAGCAUGACCCUUGGACACCAUCAUGGCCUCAGAUGUCGGCCCAGGUCCCAGGCAUCUGCACAGCCAUCAGUGGUGACAGGAGCCUUGACUGUGCACUCCAGGGCAAGAAAAACCUUGGCUACCUUUGAAAACGUUACAGGAAAGAAAAAAAGCUCAUAGACCCUUGCGCCUCUAUUCCUCAAAGACAGUCAGACCUAAGCCAGUCUGUAACCUACUACCGUGGAAAUGGCAUUCUAACAAGCAGAUGCUCUGAGCAAGAAUGUGAAUUAUUGAUGCACCAUAGCACUGUCACUAGCAGACCACGGAAUCUACUUAAAAAAUUCUUUUACAGACGUAGUUGAUUCUGCGGCAGCACUGGGUACCCUCAAAGCCACGGAUACACCAUGGAAACACUGAUGAAGCUGCUAACUGCUCUGUCCGUGUGUUCAUCGUAAAUGUCAUUAUUCAAGAAAUUUAAGAACCGUAAUGAUGGGAAAUCACACAGAAAGAAAAGAGGAGGAACGGAAACUCUGUCAGCAACAAGGGCGACAUUUUUAUUCAAGAGGUCCCUAAUGAUGGAAAAUCACAGUGAAGGCAGAGACGAAACUGGGUUUCCAUAAAGAACCCAACACAUACCAGUCGUACGCGCAGGAGAACAGCCGUAACAGACGCAUAAAAAGAAAGAAAAACAAAAUUAACGAGACAAGUUGUACCAGGCCUGACACACAAAACAGCAACAAAUCACAGCACAUUCUGAAGAUUAAUUUCAACGCAUCUUCUGAAAUAAGCAGGGAGACAGACAGCAUCAAUAUUAAUGAUGCUGGAAUGGAACUCCCUGAAAGAGCCACGGCAGAAAGCAGCACAUGAAAAUGUUUUGUUUUUAAAUGGGUUGUAGAUUGGAUCACAGGACCAUCAGGAAAAUGAAGGGACAUCUAUAAGAACAUCAUAACAGGGCCAGCUGUGUGAUGAGCAAUUACAACAUCAUCGUUAAAGUCCCCAAUGUAAAAGAAAAACAUCAGUGUGGAAAUCAAAGGAAUGUCAACAGUCUGCAGAUGAGGUAGAGGAAAGGAAAGAAUGGAUGUUAUUGAGACUCAAUUGCCUGCACUGUGUCUAUAUUGACUAUCCUUGAUAAAACGGACAAUAGGCAUUUGGAGAAAAAUGAGAAUUUGAUUCAUCUUGGAUUGCACUUGCUCCCCUGCAAAUCGUCGGGUAAGGCAGGCUGGGAGUCAGCCCAGAGCUUCCGGUGCUUAAGCUGUUGCUGGUGGCAGAUACUUCUGGACAAUGUGUCAAGUGUCAUGGGUUCCUACAAAUCUGCAGAUGUGUCUCUUAUGUCUUGUAUAGCUCAAAAUUAAAACAAGUAGAGUUACAAUGUGUAAUAA